rnacentral:rRNA from 1 species
AGGUUAAGCUGGGCACUCUAAAGAGACUGCCGUCGAUAAGGCGGAGGAAGGUGGGGACGGACGUCAAGUCAUCAUGGCCCUUAUGUCUAGGGCUACACACGUGCUACAAUGGGUUAUACAGAGGGCAGCUAGCUCGCGAGAGUCUGCGAAUCCCUUAAAGUAAUCCUCAGUUCGGAUUGUAGUCUGCAACUCGACUACAUGAAGUUGGAAUCGCUAGUAAUCGCAGGUCAGCAAAACUGCGGUGAAUACGUUCCCGGGCCUU